UACGUAGGCAGCGAGCGUUGUUCGGAGUUACUGGGCGUAAAGGGUGUGUAGGCGGUUCUUUAAGUUUGGUGUGAAAUCUCCCGGCUCAACCGGGAGGGUGCGCCGAAUACUGAGGGACUCGAGUGCGGGAGAGGAAAGUGGAAUUCCUGGUGUAGCGGUGAAAUGCGUAGAUAUCAGGAGGAAUACCUAUGGCGAAAGCAGGUAUCUGGGCCAUCACUGACGCUGAGCUGCGAAAGCUAGGGGAGCAAACAGG
rnacentral:rRNA from 1 species